GCAGGGCGGCAGAAGGACAAGCAAAGUCUAAGGAAAGAAGCCUAGGACCAGCAAUACAAAGUGAAUGCAAAAAAUAGAGUGAAUGCUUGAAGGCAGGCUGUAACGCGCACACCUGGACACUUGCUUUAGAGUGGACAAGUAUAAUCUUUUGCUGAAGAAAUUAGAAAUAACCUCCCUGCAACCAUCAAGUCUUCAUAGCACACCUCAUGGG
rnacentral:lncRNA from 10 species